AACCUUAUGGACCUGCGGGCGUAUACCUGCGGAGGGAUCAUUAAUGAAAAAAUGGCGGCCCAUAAUCUGGGUUGUUCAUCAGUUCUAUUGUGAUACUAUUGAAGCAUAAUAUCAGGGCUUAAAGAUGGGGUUUUUAAAAGUGAGUUUUUUUUUGGCUUACCUUUAAGAAAACCGGCCCUGAUUUAUUUUAAAUAAGCCAAUUUUGACCUUUUUGACUGAAAAAAUUGAAUUUAAUAAUUC
rnacentral:misc_RNA from 1 species